GUCUCCAUGGCGCAAUCGGUUAGCGCGUUCGGCUGUUAACCGAAAGGUAGAUGGUUCAAGUCCAUCUAGAGACG
rnacentral:tRNA from 1 species